GAUGAACGCUGGCGGCGUGCUUAACACAUGCAAGUCGAACGGUGAACACGGAGCUUGCUCUGUGGGAUCAGUGGCGAACGGGUGAGUAACACGUGAGCAACCUGCCCCUGACUCUGGGAUAAGCGCUGGAAACGGCGUCUAAUACUGGAUACGAGUAGCGGCCGCAUGGUCAGUUACUGGAAAGAAUUUCGGUUGGGGAUGGGCUCGCGGCCUAUCAGCUUGUUGGUGAGGUAAUGGCUCACCAAGGCGUCGACGGGUAGCCGGCCGGAGAAGGUGACCGGCCACACUGGGACUGAGACACUGCACAGACUCCUACGGGAGGCAGCAGUGGGGAAUAUUGCACAAUGGGCGCAAGCCUGAUGCAGCAACGCCGCGUGAGGGAUGACGGCCUUCGGGUUGUAAACCUCUUUUAGCAGGGAAGAAGCGAAUGUGACGGUACCUGCAGAAAAAGCGCCGGCUAACUACGUGCCAGCCGCCGCCGUAA
rnacentral:rRNA from 1 species